UACGUAGGGACCGAGCGUUGUCCGGAAUCAUUGGGCGCAAAGAGCGUGUAGGCGGCUAUUUAAGUCCUGCGUGAAAUCCUGCGGCUCAACCGCAGACGGUCGUGGGAAACUGGAUGGCUAGAGUGCGGGAGAGGAGAGUGGAAUUCCCGGUGUAGCGGUGAAAUGCGCAGAUAUCGGGAAGAACACCCGUGGCGAAGGCGGCUCUCUGGAACGCAACUGACGCUGAGACGCGAAAGCGUGGGGAGCGAACAGG
rnacentral:rRNA from 1 species